GACGAACGCUGGCGGCAGGCCUAACACAUGCAAGUCGAGCGCUGUAGCAAUACAGAGCGGCGCACGGGAUAAUAACGCGUGGGAACCUACCUUUUGGUUCGGAAUAACAUCGGGAAACUGGUGCUAAUACCGAAUAAGCCCUCCGGGGGAAAGAUUUAUUGCCGAAAGAUGGGCCCGCGUUGGAUUAACUAGUUGGCGAGGUAAUGGCUCACCAAGGCUACGAUCCAUAGCUGGUCUGAGAGGAUGACCAGCAUCACUGGGACUGAGACACGGCCCAGACUCCUACGGGAGGCAGCAGUGGGGAAUAUUGGACAAUGGGGGAAACCCUGAUCCAGCCAUGCCGCGUGAAUGAUGAAGGCCUUCGGGUUGUAAAGUUCUUUUGGUGGGGACGAUGAUGACGGUACCCACAGAAUAAGCUCCGGCUAACUUCGUGCCAGCCGCCGCAGUAA
rnacentral:rRNA from 1 species